rnacentral:rRNA from 1 species
GAUGAACGCUAGCGGCAGGCUUAAUACAUGCAAGUCGAGGGGCAGCAUGACUGUAGCAAUACAGUUGAUGGCGACCGGCAAACGGGUGCGGAACACGUACAGAACCUUCCUUCGAGCGGGGAAUAGCCCAGAGAAAUUUGGAUUAAUACCCCAUAGUAUUACGGAGUGGCAUCACUUUGUAAUUAAAGAUUUAUCACUUGAAGAUGGCUGUGCGGCUGAUUAGGUAGUUGGCGGGGUAACGGCCCACCAAGCCCACGAUCAGUAACUGGUGUGAGAGCACGACCAGUCACACGGGCACUGAGACACGGGCCCGACUCCUACGGGAGGCAGCAGUAAGGAAUAUUGGUCAAUGGACGAAAGUCUGAACCAGCCAUGCCGCGUGGAGGAUGAAGGUCCUCUGGAUUGUAAACUUCUUUUAUAUGGGACGAAAAAAGGCUUUUCUAAGUCGUCUGACGGUACCAUAUGAAUAAGCACCGGCUAACUCCGUGCCAGCCGCCGCAGUAAAAC